rnacentral:rRNA from 1 species
AGCAGCCGCGGUAAUUCCAGCUCCAAUAGCGUAUAUUAAAGUUGCUGCAGUUAAAAAGCUCGUAGUUGAAUUUCGGGAUCAAUAUGUUGGUCGUGCCUCGGUACGUACUAGCUUAUUGGUUUCUCCCUUCUGACGAACCAUGAUGUCAUUUAUUUGGUGUUAUGGGAAAUCAGGACUGUUACUUUGAAAAAAUUAGAGUGUUUAAAGCAGGCUCACGCUUGAAUACAUUAGCAUGGAAUAAUGAAAUAGGACGUUUGAUUCUAUUUUGUUGGUUUCUAGGAUCGACGUAAUGAUUAAUAGGGAUAGUUGGGGGCAUUAGUAUUCAAUUGUCAGAGGUGAAAUUCUUGGAUUUAUUGAAGACUAACUACUGCGAAAGCAUUUGCCAAGGAUGUUUUCAUUAAUCAAGAACGAAAGUUAGGGGAUCGAAGACGAUCAGAUACCGUCGUAGUCUUAACCAUAAACUAUGCCGACUAGGGAUCGGAUGAUGUUAAUUUUUAAUGACUCAUUCGGCGCCUUAACC